CAUCAUCUCUCACCUCUCUUUAAAGUCUCACAGAGACUUUUACAUUACACACAUCCCAAAUUUUGAAUCCCCUAAUCUCUCUCUCUCAAAAUUGUUCCACCAUAUCCCCUCAUCUCUCUCCCUCUCUCUCAUACCCAAAUCAAGGAACAAAAAAGAUGUUUGAUUGGUGGUGGUAAGUCGAAUGCGGCGGAAGACGGUGGUGGGAGGUGGUUGGCCGGCGACGAAGGUGGGACGAAGACGGAAAUGAUGUUUAGAGAUUAGAAUGCGGCGGAGGUGGUGGUGGGAGGUGGUUGGUCGAUGACGGUGGUGGGAGGUGGUUGGUCAACGACGGCGGUGGCGGAAGGCCCCUUGUUCAUCUGUUAACACCAGUUUAGGGAAAAUUUGUUUAAUCAUUUUCCAAAUCAGGACCGUGUGAGUGGGAAUAGGAGUCAAAAUAGGAAGAUAUUGAUUGGUUGAUUUUUCAAAAUAAAGAAUCAAAAUGAGAAAGGAGUUGUGGCUUAUUUUUGCAAACUUCACAAAAUGCAAGUACAGCGAAGGAUGUUUUUACAGAAAGAAUGAAGUCAUAUCUCCAGAUUUAGGAACACAAAACAAAGGCUUCGGGUCAGGAAUCGUCUCAACAAAUUCAUUCAAAAACUUCAUAUCCAAACGUAUCACAUUCAGAAGAAACGGGUCAUCAAAAGAAGGUCUCAAGUUUACGCCAACUAAUACUUUAGUGACUUGUUACAUUUGGUAUUUUUAUGAAAAUUUUAUAUAUAUUGUUUUUUUUUGUAUUGUUGAAAUGUUAUUGUUUGCGUUUUGAAAAUA